rnacentral:rRNA from 1 species
UACGUAGGUGGCAAGCGUUGUCCGGAUUUAUUGGGUUUAAAGGGUGCGUAGGCGGCCCUGUAAGUCAGUGCUGAAAUAUCCCGGCUUAACCGGGAGGGUGGCAUUGAUACUGCGGGGCUAGAGUACAGAUGAGGUAGGCGGAAUUGACGGUGUAGCGGUGAAAUGCUUAGAUAUCGUCAAGAACACCUAUAGCGAAGGCAGCUUACUAGGCUGUAACUGACGCUGAGGCACGAAAAGUGUGGGGGAUCAAAACAGGG